rnacentral:misc_RNA from 1 species
ACACCCUCAACCUUCUUGGUUUUAUUGACCGGGGAAGGCUUGGACUUUGGAGGUUUUUGUUGCUGGCCUCAUUUGAAGCCAGCUCCUCCUAAAUGAAUUAGUGGGGUCCGCUGUGCAGAUCCUUGACGUGAUAAGUACGCUUCUACGUCUUGGGGUUUUGCGCCGUUCCCGCUUCUAACUCCGAGUUGUGACUCGACCUUAUAAA